AUGGGCACCAACGCCUACUUCACAUACACUGUAGUCGGCUUUUAUGGCUCCAGCACGCUCUCCUACUGCAAGGCACUCGCCGUGGUCUUCAUCGAGGGCCUCGUGUUUAUCCUCAUCUCUGUCAUUGGGCUGCGGUCCAAGCUCGCCCAAUUGAUCCUCAAACCCGUGUGGAUCAUGUCAUCUGCGGGGAUCAGGUUGUUUCUGGGGUUCAUCAGGAUGCAGAGCAACCAACGAUUCUGGCUCGUCGGCAUCAGCAUGUCCACGCUGGUCACGCUCCGCGCAUGCCCCACGUCGCGGCGCAUGUCCAUGGCGCGGUGUUUACGUUCACAACAACAUGGUGGCGCUCAUGCCCGGCGGCUCGGUCUUCGGCGACGUACUUUGCCUGUUCGGCUGGAUGACCUCCCUAACCUUCUGACCAUACUAAAAUGGAAUUGGAAGAUUUUAUUUUUUUAA
rnacentral:rRNA from 1 species